CGGAGAGGGUGAUCUCCUUGUCAUGAGGGAUAUUUAUGUAAUUUUUGAAAUACGCACGCUUGUUCGACUGCUCUUCUAACGCCCCGCCUCCCCCAUCCCGAUCCCGAUCUCCAGAAGUCCGCCAACGCCGCCCCGGGGCCGGCGACAGGGAAACGAUGACCGGCACGGCAGAUUCCUCAUGGCCUCGAGGAAGUGGAUCGCCACCUUUCGUAGGCCAAAACAAAUCUUGAAGAGUGCCGACUGCAGUCGGUGGUCAAUGUGGUGGGAAAGCGCUAACAUUCUUGACUCCAUGGAGAACCUAUUCUGACCUCUACUGAGAAGACAAAGGAUGUUAAGCAAAUUGUAAAAAUUGGUUCUAGAAAUCCAACAGUUGAUGUUGUUGUGUUAUCGUUCGCUUUCGGCAAGGAAUGUUAGGAUUAUCUGAACCCCUCUCUCUACUUCUGACACAUGCCCAAAUGAAGAAAACAUAGUUUGUUCAUCUCAUCCAAGUUACAUGAAACAGAUCAAUGCAUUAGAAAUUUGGUAUCUUGUAUGCAGACAAUCUAAGCUCCACUCGUGCUGUUGACUCUGCAGGACUUUAGGUAUUUGGGAUCAUGUUCAACAAUGUCCUUGUCUCAUGGACUUUGAAUGAAGAGGAGGAUCAAGGUCAAGUGGCUUCUGAGUUUAUCCUAUCUCGAGUCCUGUGUUUUGACAGCACUCGUUGGCGACAACUCUCGUAAAGCUCCCUUGUCCAAAUGAUGGAACUUUUUCUAUAGGAGCAGUCAGUAGCUUUGUGAUGUGUAGAUGAUGCCUUUUGCACCUCGUCCAAAGAACACCAACGAUGGUGUCCUACUUCCUAGUCUAUAUGUGAUGAUAUAUGCCAUGCACGCGUUGUCGUGGGUCCAUUCGCAUAUGCAUAUAUUAACCAUACGAACGACAUGGUCAUCACUUCAUUGCAUGACCUUCCUGUCUCUUUGGUCUACGUCGUUUGUUUUCUGUCAAGAUAUAAAUUCAAGUAAAGUAUUAAUCAUUAUGUCAUGAACUUUAUUUAUA